AUUAAUAUAAAAGCCAGAAAUGUGACCAAAUGAACUGUGCUUUAAUUAUUUGUAGACUUUGCGCUUAGGUAAUUGCGUUGGUUCAUAUUAGGAUUAUGAUUGCGAUAAUUGUGGCACCAAUCGGCCCCAAAUGGGACUCUGGCUCAGCGACCCACUGCUACCCAACCCCCAUUGGAGGCGGGACUGUGCUGUGCGCCACGUAUCCAUAACGAAAGCGAAACUGAUCUCGUCGCCUCCAUUUUGUGGAUAAGCAGUUCAACAUUUCUGCAAUGAAGCAUCUAGAAAAUACAACUGGUAUCCUAACCUCCAGAUGACGUUUUUCCGAGGCUGGUGCCAGUGGUCACAUCAGCACUCAGAGCAAGAUCAGCUGGUUGUCUUCAUAUCUGAAUAUGGAUUUAAUGUCUGGGACUGAAGCCGUCUAACAGAGAGGACCUGAGCAUCAGAACAACAAACCCCUGAAGCACUCAUAAAGCACAGUGAAGUUCUCCUCUUCUUCUCUAGGAUGGGGGGCACCAGCUCUAACAGGAGACCUCCCUCCCCUACACCCACCUGUGUGUCCAUGAAGAGUGAUAAUUCCAUGCCGAGAGGAAUCGACUUUACAGGAGGAGACUCUUCAACUGGACAGAUGGAGGGCACCAGCUCUAACCAGAGGUCUCCCUCCCCUACACCCACCUGUGUGUCCAUGAAGAGUGAUGAUUCCAUGCCGAGAGGAAUCGACUUUACAGGAGGAGACUCUUCAACUGGACACCCAAAGAACGAGAGCAGUUCCAAAGAUUUGCCAAUCAACCCUAAAGGAGGAGACUCAUCCAUUGGAAUAUAUCAACAAAUCCACAAAUCCCACCUGCUGAAGAAGUUUCAGUCUCUGAUUGAGGGAAUCACUCAACAGGAAGAUGCCAGACUCCUCCAUGAGAUCUACACAGACCUCUACAUCACAGAGGGGGGAAGAGGAGAGGUCAAUGAUGAACAUGAGGUCAGACAGAUAGAGAGGGCAUCCUGGAGAGAAGCAGCACAAGGCAGACCAAUCAAAUGCAGUGAUAUAUUUAGACCCUUAACUGGGCAAUACAAACCCCUCAGAACAGUGCUGACAAAGGGAGUGGCUGGCAUUGGAAAAACAGUCUCUGUGCAGAAGUUCAUUGUGGACUGGGCUGAAGGAACAGCUAAUCAGGAUAUCCACUUCAUAUUUCCUCUUCCUUUCCGGGAGCUGAACCUGAUGAAGGAGAAGAAAAACUAUUUCAGUCUGGUGGAUCUUAUUCAGUACUUUUUCCCUGAAAUCAAAGAUCCAAGAGUCUUCACCAGUUCAGCACACAGAGUCAUGUUCAUCUUUGAUGGUCUGGAUGAGUGUCGACUUCCUCUAGAUUUCCGCUCCAACCCAACCUGUUGUGAUGUGACAGAGCCAGUCUCAGUGGACGUGCUGCUGACAAACCUCAUCAAGGGGGAUCUGCUUCCUUCUGCUCUCCUCUGGAUCACCACCCGACCAGCAGCAGCCAAUCAGAUCCCUCAUAAGUGUGUGGACCAGGUGACAGAAAUAAGGGGAUUCAACGACCCACACAAAGAUGAGUACUUCAGGAAGAGAAUCAGUGAUGAGAACCUGGCCAGAAGAACCAUCACACACCUGAAGUCAUCCAGGAGCCUCUACAUCAUGUGCCACAUUCCAGUCUUCUGCUGGAUUUCAGCCACUGUUGUAGAGAGAACAUCAAAAGAAUCAGAGAGUGUAGAAAUGCCACGGACUCUGACUCAAAUGUACGCACGCUUCCUGAUCAUUGAGACAAGCAUAAAAAAGGACAAGUAUAUCGAGAGAAAAGAGACAGAUGAAGAGGUGAUUUUUAAAUUAGGGAAACUGGCUUUCCAACAGCUGGAGAAGGACAAUCUGAUCUUCUAUGGGGAAGACUUGAAUGAGUGUGGCAUUGAUGUCACAGAAGCAUCAGUGUACUCAGGAGUGUGUACUCAGAUCUUCAGAGAGGAGUCUGGGCGGCAUCAGGGGGAGGUGUUCAGCUUUGUGCAUCUGACCAUCCAGGAGUUUCUUGCAGCUCUGUAUGUGUUCCUCUGUUUCAGCAACAGACAGAGAAACAUGCCUGACCAACAGCAAACCUCUCAGCUCUCUGCUCUGUUCAGAGCUGCAACACUUUAUGACCUACACAAGACUGCAGUGGACCUGGCCUUACAGAGUAAGAAUGGACACCUGGACCUUUUCCUCCGCUUCCUUCUGGGCCUCUCACUGGAGCCCAAUCAGAAUCUCUUACGGCAACUGCUGCCACAGAGCAGUAACCAAUCAGAUAGCUCAGAGGAAACAGUGCAGUAUAUCAAAGAGAGGAUUAGAGAUCAGAAGAACUCUGAAGAAGAAGACAGAAGGGUCAACCUGUUCUACUGUCUGAAUGAGCUGAAUCACCAUGCUGUAGUGGAGGAGAAAAGCAGCUCAGAUACUUUGCAUGUACACAUGCUCUCACCAGGAGAGUGGGAGACUGUGAGUUUUGAGUUUACGACACCAGAAAAGCAGUUGGCUGAGUUUGACCUGCAGACGUAUAUAACGACUCCAGAGAAAGAUCAGACUGAACUUCUCAGUCCAGAAGAAGUUCUUCAGAAAUUGGAGCCAGUGGUCACAACAUCUACAUCAGCUCUGCUCUGGAGAUGUAAUCUGACUGAGAAGAGCUGUUCCUAUCUGGCCUCUGCCCUGACUGCACACUCCUCAAGUCUUAGACUGCUGAAGCUGAGUUACAAUCAGCUACUGGACUUCGGAGUGGAACUUUUAUGUUCUGCACUUUGUCAUCAAAACUGCAAACUGGAAGAACUACAGCUGAUGCACUGUGAUCUGACUGAGAAGAGCUGUUCCCAUCUGGCCUCUGCCCUGACCGCACACUCCUCAGGUCUCAGAGUGCUGGACCUGAGUGAGAAUAGUGUGCUGGACUCAGGAGUGAAACUUUUAUGUUCUGCACUUUGUCAUCAAAACUGCAAACUGGAGGAACUACAGCUCUGGAGAUGUAAGCUGACAGAGAAGAGCUGUUCCUAUCUGGCCUCUGCCCUGACCACACACUCCUCAAGUCUCAGACUGCUGAACCUGAGUGGCAAUGAGCUGCUGGACUCAGGAGUGGAACAUUUAUGCUCUGCACUUUGUCAUCAAGACUGCAAACUGGAGGACGUGCAGUUGACCAAAUGUAAUCUGACUGAGAGGAGCUGUUCCUAUCUGGCCUCUGCUCUGUCCACACACUCACGUCUCAGACAGCUGAACCUGAGGGCCAAUGACCUGAGCAAAUCAGCUGUACAGCAGCUCUCUGAUCUAGUGAAGGACCCACACUGUAAUCUGGAGGAACUAGAGUGAGUAAAUAUCUAAACAAUAGCAGCUCUCUGCUCUAGUGAAGGACCCACACUGUAAUCUGGAGGAACUAGAAUGGCGUUACUGAGCAUCAGUGUGUUCUACUUUGACUCUGAACACACACACACACACACACACACACACACACACACACACACACACACACACACACACACACACAAACACUGUCAAGUACUCUGUCCUGCAGAAUGUCUGGGGACGAUCGUGAGCACGUCGCCAUCUUGCAGCAGCACACUUCCUGAUUCCUGAGGAGAGCACAGCAGUGAGGUGUCAUUAUGAUGUCAUUUAUGAAGCCAUCACUAACCCCAAUCCAGUCACAUAUGCACAGCAGUGAGGUGUCAUUAUGAUGUAAUUUAUGAAGCCAUCACUAACCCCAAUCCAGUCACAUAUGCACAGCAGUGAGGUGUCAUUAUGAUGUAAUUUAUGAAGCCAUCACUAACCCCAAUCCAGUCACAUAUGCACAGCAGUGAGGUGUCAUUAUGAUGUAAUUUAUGAAGCCAUCACUAACCCCAAUCCAGUCACAUAUGCACAGCAGUGAGGUGUCAUUAUGAUGUCAUUUAUGAAGCCAUCACUAACCCCAAUCCAGUCACAUAUGCACAGCAGUGAGGUGUCAUUAUGAUGUAAUUUAUGAAGCCAUCACUAACCCCAAUCCAGUCACAUAUGCACAGCAGUGAGGUGUCAUUAUGAUUUGUAUCUAUUUUCUAUGAAGCCAUCACUAACCCCAAACAUGUGACAGGAGGUCCACAAUAGGCCCACACUUAGUAGCUAAUCAAGAGUCCAUAUAUGAUUGAAAGGAAUGUCAUCAGCCUGGGAAUGAAGAGUUAGCUUAUGAUUGAAAUGAAUAUCAUCAGCCUGGGAAUUUAGAUCCUUACACCAUCACUAACCCCAAUCCAGUCACAUAUGCGCUAGUUGAGCUUCUUGCCACAGCUGCACCAGAUUUCCUGAUGGGAGAAAUCAAAAUAACAUUUGUUGCAUUUAUUUUUGUAAAAACAUGUUUCUCCUCCAGUUGCAUGUUUAUUUUAGUGAUAAAGACUUUUAAAGUCUCUUAAAGUCUUUGCAUAAAAAAAUAAGAAGAUAAAUUCACCAGCAGUCAAACUUCAAAGCCACUACAUACCUACAUGUGCAGCAAGGAAUGUAUCCAUAGUUCUUUUUAAAAUAAUGAGGAUUAUUAACAGCAACACCACAUACUGUAUAGCAAUUUUAGCUUGCCAGAGGCGCUUAAUGCAUUAACACUGAAUUGUGUCUAGAAACACUGCAAUAUACAUCUGAAAAGAAAUCUGCUUGUUAUUUCUUGCGAGAUUUGAACACUAUUUUUUUUUUAAAGUAUAUUUCUGGGCUUUUUUAUGCCUUUUAAUUAUAGGACAGUAGAGAGAGACAGGAAGUGAGUGGGAGAGAGCGUUGGGGUGGGAUCCGGAAAGGACCACGGGGCGAGAAUCGAACCCGGGGCGCCGGCGUGCGGUGCAGGUGCCCCAGCCAGUCGCGCCACGACUGGGGCCUUGAACACUAUUUUUAGAUGUUUGAGACACACUUAGCUAAAACUCUUUGCACUUUUUUACUAGACGGGUCAUAAAUUGUUGAUAAAUUGACUCAUAUAUAUAUAUAUAUAUAUAUAUAUAUAUAUAUAUAUUAGGUCGCUUGUUGGUUUAUAUGAUUUAAUUAUCAUUUAAGACUGACGAGGCCUUAUGUCUUUAUGUAGGAAGGGGGGUAACUUCAUUUGAAAAGAAGCUAUUCUGAAAUUGUUUAUGGCAGCCAAUGCUUGAUCACGGAAUCCAGAAAUGCUACAGCUCUUAUAAAGAACGUUUGUAUGUUUAUCUAUUGUACUUAAAACAGUUAAACAGCACCCCUGUUGAGACACAAGCUCUUAUGGUGCUGUUUUACCAAUGAUGAAGUUAUACUCUGUUGAAUGGAAGAAUGGUAUGAAUGGUAACUUCAUUUUCAGUCAAGCCUCAACGCCACUACAUACCUAGAUGUGCAAUGUAUUUGUAGCUCUUUUUAAAAGCAUGAUGAUAUAUGAUAAUGUAUAAGUGUUCUCUGGAAUCUCUGCCAAAUUAACUUACCAGUCACUACUGGCAUGUGUCUAGAAACACAAAAAUAUGCAUCUAAAUCUUGAAAUCUCUUUGUUUUUGAGAAAGAUUGUGUUUUGUUCAUUUUAAAGAAUAUAUUUAGACUUUAAAGAUGCACUAAGCCAAAUCUCUAUGCACUAUGUACACUGUUUCUGCUGUGAAAUGUAAUAAAGCUGAGACAUACAAUACA